rnacentral:tRNA from 1 species
GGGGAGAUGGCCGAGUGGUUAAAGGCAGCAGACUGUAAAUCUGCCGGCGUAUGCCUACGGAGGUUCGAAUCCUUCUCUCCCCA